UGAAAAUGCCAUUCUUUUUCAGUCACAAUUAAUUUUAGCCCAGCACAGGCACUUCACAGAACUGAAAACCAGAAAUUCAACAAUCAAACUGAAGGUGAUUGCUACAAGGUAUGGGUUAUGGACUCUUUCUACCUCUAGCAUGCUGCAACAGUCCUCACUCACAGCAUGAAAGAACAAAAGCCAGAGAAGACAGAAAAUGAAGGCUAUGAAAAAGUCUUAUUCAUUCUACAUUGUGGAGAAUUUGAAUAGUGUAUCUUCAAAGGAUUGCAUUCUUUCUGCUGGCUGAAAAAUGCAUGACUUCUUUCCAAGAGAAGCUACUUGGAAUUGCUGAUCACUGAUCUUUGUUUUGCUGCUGAGGCCAGAUUUUCUGCUGGGUGUGUGCCACUCUGCAGUAAAGCAUUUGCCCUCCAUAGCCACAGUCUUGUGGAGAAGCCAUGGAGAAUGAGAAUCUUCAGUAUAUCUCUAUACCCACUACUGCUCACAAGGGAAGUUUCAAAGUUAUGAUUUUAUUAUUUUCUGUGGUUUAACAUGACAUGAGAACAGAGGUGGACUGUUCUUCUUGUCCCAUGUGUGCAAGAUGAUAUUGCUAUCUUUAUUACUUUGGAACUUUAGGGAUUAAAGCUAUUUGGCAUAUAAGAAGAAGCAACAAGUGACUCUUUAAUUAAUCCCUGGUUAUCACAACAGCUGAUAGACACAGGGGGAACAUUAUGUUCUCAUACAGAAAACGAAAACAAAAAAUCUUUAUCUCCUGCAUACCGUGGAGACUAAAGAAGAGUUAAAACCACUGCGAAAUGACUGCAGUGAAAGAAAGCUCUGAUUGUCUCUAGUGCUGAUUUACAGCCUUUGCAAGACUCUAAUCAAGAAUGAAAUUAACAGUGCAACAAUAAGACAAUGUUCUUUGUAUUUUUGGACAUGCCUGCUCACUAGGGUGUAUGUUAUCUGCAAGCACAAAACAGACAGAAAACCCUGCUCAGCUAUUGAGGCCACACAUACAGCAGACAGCAGCUCAACAAGCCCUAGUAAGAGAAAACCUCAUCAUUUCCAUGUUUGCCUUUCCAAGAUCUGAACUGCUAAGGAAGCACACUGGAGAAAUACCUUUGAUUCUGGAGAAGGGCUUAUAAAGCAUAUGUAAAAAUGUUGAGAUUCAAUUAAUUAUUCACAUAUCUGAGGUACGUGAAAAAGAUGUUAAAGUAUGUGUGGUCUGAAUUAGAUGCUGGUGUACUUUGAAUUUUAUUUACUUACAUUUAGAUUGCUCAUUUUUAUGCUUUUUCUUAUAAGGCCUAUGUUUAAUCUGAAGAAACAUCAACCUCAUUUUAUGGAAGGAGAUUAAACAAGGACUAUAAAACACAGCUCUCCUUAUAUCUGUAAUUCCCUCUACUUCACUAAAUAAGUCACCAAUAGCAAAAUGUCUUAUACUAUGUUUCCAAGCUCUGGUUGUCAGAGUAGGGGACAAGGUGACAAGGGCAGAACACAGAGGGCUGGGAAUGAGGAGAGGAAUUUAUUUGCAGGAUAGUGCUCUAAGAUAAGAAGACAAAAGAAUCCUGAACUUCUGAAGUUUUAACAGGCUGAGCUUUCAAUUUUGUUCAGGGGAAACACAUGCAAGUAUUUUUCUCCAGCUAAAAAACAAAGGCAGCAUUUUGAAAAUAGAAACAUUGUACUGGAAAAUAUUAAGACAAAAAUUUUUUUUAAGUCUUAGUAUUGAUACAUUCCUGAUGGAAUGAUGAAGCUAGCUUCUCCAUAAAAACCCCAAAACCCAAAAAAGACAACCAAACAAAAAUACCCACUUCUUUUCAUACAGUGUAGAAAAGUAAAUUAUGAUGGACACUAUGACAAGUUAAAAUGAUGAUCAGAAAUAGACAGGAUCUGUCUGAGGGCAACUAUUGGAAUAAAUAAAUGAAGUGUGGGAUAACAGUACCUCUGUUGAUGAACUUUAUGAACUUUAUUUAAUAAUAAAAACCUUAGAGAAACUUUAAUAGAAAUAUUUAGGUUCCAGAUGUAAUUGACUGUAUCAUGUUCCAUUGCAGGACAGUGUUGGGUAAACAGUACAAAACAAAAGUAAAGGCAUAUCAAAUGGAUUUUUUAAAAUUGAUUGAAAACUGAGGCUUGUGAAGACACCGCUUUUAACAUCACUAAAGGUAGUUUAGCAGACCAUUACUUCCAGAAUAAGACAGUGUCUCCCCAGAGAACAGAGUAGUGAUACGCAGUUCUAAUUUGAUAUAUCUGGAAAUUCAGAUCUUUCUAAUAAUUUUCCUCAUGAAUUCCUUUAAUUUCACCACAUUAUUCAGAAUAAGGAUGAUCAAAACACAGGCACAAAAAAAACUUACUCUGAGAAAAUUUUAAAUAAAAGAACUUUCUUCUUUAAUUGGAAAAUUUUGUUUACAAAGUUUAAACUCCCUUCAAUUUAAAACUCAACUCACUGUAAAAUGAAUGAACACUCAAUUUCAUGUAAAAUACUUUCAUAUUAUUUUUCAAUAGAUCGUGUCUUACUGCAACCUGGCAUUUUUUCCUUCAAAACAUGCAAAGAACCUGUUAGGUUUUUAUGGUGCCUUAGCCCACUUCAACUUACCUUGCUUUGUUUUUAGUACAAUUAUUUUAUAAAUUGUCUCCUAUAGACAGAUGCAUGCUAUAAAAAAACAAUUCCUGUGUAACUCUGUCAGUCUGUCUCACUCCUGAUUCUGCCCUGUCUGUUUCCAGCCCUUUGGCUUCUUUCAGCCCCACUUGGCAGCAUGAAAGUCGUAGCGAAGACAAACACUUCACUGAAAACAAGGUGUUCUCAGGCCUUGGUGGGAACUCUUACAGGAAGCAGUAAGAGUAGGAUGCCUCACUUUUUUAGGACCAACAUUUCAUGUGGGGCCAAAAGUAUUUAUGGAAGCCCAGAAUGCAGAAAAAUUGAGUCCUUCAACAGUCAGACAGGCCCAUAUACUUAGUAGAAUAUUGACACUUUUCCUGGCAGAUUAGGCCAUGACUUUUCAGACUCUGAACUCUCCACCCAGCCAAACCACCCAGGUCCUUUUAGUGCAGUGGGAAGUAACUCUUUUGGAUGGGACAGAGUGAUGCCUCAAGAAUAUCCACCAGCAUCAGCAGCAGCAGCUGGUUUGGCACUAGUUUGUUUGGUGCUAAUUCAGAAAUAAAGAAGGCAUUGUUUAUAAGGUACAUGCAGCCCUUUUAAAAGAGCAGUCUUAAUACUGAACUUUCCAAAUUAAGUAGAAAAGCUUCAAGUUGGCAUGAGGACUGAGUCAUACUGCAUGCAAACAGGAAACAACAGGAGGCUGAUUCCUAAGAAACUGUCUCAAAAUAUCAGUUCAAAUAAACAGCCUGACUAGGCAGUGGAGUCUAAAAUUUCAUUAUAUAAUCCUAUUUUUCAACAUUUUUGAGCAACAAACAUGGGCUAAACAGUAGGUCAUUACCUUAUUGAGAAUUUAACUUCUGAUAUUUGCAAAAUCUGCAGCCUGAAAAACGUUCACUUUUCUUUUCUGGUCCCACAAUGUUCCAGAAAAGUUCUAAAGAUAACUUGACAUUUACUUUUGUAAUUGCGUAUGACAGGAUUUGGAUUUCCAAAUCAAUGCAGAAAGAACCAUAUAGAGAGGUAAACAAUCUACCAAGAAAUCUUGCUGCUUUUUUUUCCUCCAGAUUCUGUGUCGAUGACAAUACCUUAUAAAAAAACUGGAAGACUUUAUUUUUAGCUGUGUUGCUGAAAGCUAUUUAGAUUAAUAUAUUUCCACCAGGUGAACUCUGGCUUGAAUAUCACUAACUGGGUGCUAUUCCAAGACACGCAGUCUAUAGUACUUGCUCAUAAAAAUCCUCCAUUCACUUCUUACCAAGGAAGAGGCAUCUUCCAUCAGAUAGUACCUAACAAUGAAGUUAAGUUGUAAAGGAGACUGCACAACACCUAGAAAAUAUAUGCCAGCUUUCCUGGAACAUUUCAUGAAGGAAAAAACAAAGUGCAUGAAAAUCUGUAAGUGAACAAUUAAGGGACAGGAUAAUUUCAUUCAUGUAAUCGUUUUCUUUUCCCGUGGCAAGCAAAUUACCAUUAGAUGAUUGGCAGAGUAUCCUUUCAGUAAGAAAUUGAUUUUAUAGUUUUGUAAUUUGUUAUCUUGACCUUUACAUGUAUUUUGAAAAUUUUAUUGGAGGCAGUGUUAAAGUUCAGCAGUUUAUGUAAAUGAUAUUGAGGUUAAUGAGGUGUAAAGGAUUAUAUGGCAGUGAAGAGCUGCCUGGAUCCUUUAAUGGUUCCUCUCUAGGCUUUCUACUGUUUGCAGUAACAAAUGGCACAUUUCAGGGGAGGCUGAAAGAAAUUGCAUUUUGUGUCAGUUAAUUGUAUACUUUUCAACAUAUCUUAUGUCUUUUUGAAAGCAUCCUUUAAAUUAAUAGUAAAUUAUAUUUGUAAUAAGAAUGUAAAUAAGUAUUUCUCAGUUGAACUGAGAUCAGAGAGGAUUUUUUUUCUCUCUAAAAUCCUUUCUUUUAUAUGUCACAAAUGUUAUGUGUUUAAAAUUCAAUUGGGCUACAAUAUUCUUAUUGAAAGUAGUGUUUCAGGUCACAGCUCUAUGCAAACCCAGGUUUCCUCCCCAGUAUAUGGCCAUAUGUGCUCCUGUUUCCACUGUUUUGUAGUGUUCCCCUUAUUUACCCCUUUUAAAGCUGUCUUUCUCCAACCUGGGAAAAAAAGAGUUUUCUGACACCUAAUGCUAUUUAACACUAAAUCUGAGGUCCACCUGGAUUUUAAAGAAAAUUAGUCUAAGACAAAUACUGAAUUACAUCCUUUACUGGAGCCAGGGGAGCACUCUGAAUUAUCCCAGAGACAGACUCAUUCUUAUUUUGAUUUUCCUAACCCCACUAGAAAAUUUCAACAUCAGCAGGAGCUGAGACAGACAUUCUGGAAAACCAUCUCCCUGUGAGUGUGAAAAUCAGGCAUUCAAUAAAAGAAAAACUUUUAAAACUUUAACUGUAAAUUAAUUAUCACAAUCACAUAAGAAAAACAUAAAACAAGAUAAUUAUGACAUUAAACCAGUUUUGAUGAUGCCCGUUUCAAUUCAAUGUCAAAGUGACUAAAAAUAAUAAAUACCUGUGCAGUUGCAUAAAAAAAAAAUUCAAAAGAGGUCUCUAGUUUUGAUGAAAGAGCUUAUUGUUUUCGAACUAGCCAUCACGAUUUUGCAAUAGGGUUCAUUAUUGUUACAACUAUUUUAUCUUCACUGUGAGAGCGGACUUUUGCCAAAACCAGACCUGAGCCUGGACUCAAGACCAUCUUCUCCCAAUGUUUCAGUCAUCUGGACCCCAACACAUGUGCAGAUGCAACCUGCUGCUGAGCUCUGAAGAACCCUCAUAGAAAGAGGAUAAACACACCUGGAAUAUCAGCACAGGGCCAAUAUCUUUAUGCCACUCAGACAGCAAGAUCUGUUCAGAUAAUCUCUGCAUUUCAGGGCUCAGAUGAUUUAUUCUGGUCUCCUCAAAGAUGCUGUAUGGAUGAUUUGUCUCUGAGUUACAAAAUACUUGAAGAAAAAUUAUAAGGCAAGGCAUUUGUCAUGAGAAAACAAAUACUUGGGCCCAUACAUAGCUACCACAAGACACUUGGCCAACUGGAGGAACACAGGAGUUUUGCCAUACAAGUUCUCACUGGUAACAAAUUUAAUGCACUGCACCUCUCAAAAGAAGCUACUUAAACUGACCACCAAGAUUCACUGCCAUUGUGAAUACAGGUUCAAACUUUUCCUUUAGAGAAUGAUGGAUAACUCCCUUAAAUGUGAUCCCUGUGUUUCCAAGUAAAAUAGUGGGUAUGGUAAGUUAAGACAGAUAGAAAUGAGUUUAAAAUGUUGCCUGGGAUUUACAGCAGCUUUUGUAGUGUAGCUCACUAGGGGCUGUUGGGGAAAUGAAGUAUGUGGUGACAGACAAAGUUCUGUCCAAAGAGGAAACUGGGAAGAUGGUAAGCAAAGGUACCUUGCUGUCCAUGCAUCAGUGAGUGGCACUGAGAUGGUGUUAGCCAAAAGGGAGUGAUACUGGCUAGGAAAAACGGCCAACUUUUUUGGUGAAGAUGUUGUUCCCAGCCAAAAUCAUGAGGAGGCUGAAUAAGUAUGAAGCGAUUACACAAAGGCAGAGAAUUUGCUAAACUUGACAGCAGAUAACACUGACAGGAUAAAAGCAUGGUAAUGGACACUGGGACCAGUAAUUCUCAGUACUCAUAUUUGUCAAUGGUAUGUAAAUUAACUGUGACAAUACAGUUAAAACAAAAACAUGACAAAGACAGACAUGACAAUGGGCAGCUGAGUGAAAUUAUCUGCUUCAAAUAAAGGGCCUCUUAUUUUCUUUCAGGGCAAGGCAAAAGAUUGCAGGAGCUGUUUGUGAAACAGUAACUUUGGUCUACUUUGUGCAUUGGGGCAUUGCUGUUUUAAUCACCUCAGAGCCUCAUUUGACAUAUGGUGUAGGCAUGUGAGGAAAUGUGUGGAGGGAGAAGGUGCUCAGGGUAUAGCUGUCUGCAGUAAGAUUUGCAGUCAGUCGUAGCUUUUACCAGCUUGUUUCUUCCCACUGGCAGCUCCAGAUCCCACAGCUCAACUAAGUCUUUCGCAGUGUCAUUGUGGUGCUAACGUCUGUGAGAAUUUGUGACUGUAUUGAAACAAUCAUGCUGGCUUCCUGUCACAGCAGAUCUUGACAUCUGGAGGAAAUAUUCGUAGCUAAAGGCACAGGCAAAGCUACAUCAACAUCUGUAACAAACGAUGAGUCACAAUACUCUUGCAAUAUUUCUAGUAUAACAUGAAGUAAUAAAAAAAACAAUAGUGUUCAUGCUGUCACUCAAACGAGGCUCUGUAACGCAUUCUGGGUACUUUUCCAGUAUGAGGAGGCGUUUGUAUGGAGGUCUAAGAAGCAGAUGUGCAAAUCUGUUGUUCAUUGACACCAUCUUUCUCAAAUUGCCUCUUCACACCACACAUUGUUAACAUUUUGGGAACUCACUUUCAUAACCUGUUGCAGGGGGCACAAAAGGGAAUAAAAAACCAUAGUGGAUGUAUCAAUGUGGUUGGCUUCCAUUCACUUGUUCAAAAGUUCACAUAAUGCUUAAAGGUUUCCAGAAGGGAAAGGGGAAGGCAAGAAUCAUUCUGUAGAUUUUUUUUAAGUUUCAAAAUUGUUCUUUCUCAAAAUAAAGAUGAAGCAUACUAAUUUGAAGAAAAUUAUGUACACAAGGAAGAUUUAACAGGGUUUUGUUCAUUGGGGAAUGUUUAAACAUUUUCAAAACAUGCUAUUUUAAUUAUCUGAUAUAAAAAGUUGUUAAACUGUCUUUAUAAUAUAUAUAAGCUUAUUUUCAUGAUUUUAAGACUAGCUGGAAAUUAAUCACCACACAGCUGCUCACUUGCCCCCCCACUCCUCCCACCCCAUCCUGGUGGAAUGGGGACUAGAAUAAAAGUAAAACUUUUGAGAUAAUUAUGUUGAGAUAAGAACAGUUUAAUAAUUGAAAAAAGUAAAAUACAGUAAUAACAAUAAAAAAGGAGGGAAAAAGUGGUGCACAAUGCAAUUGCUCACCCCCUGCUGACCCCUUCCUAACUCCAGACUGGCCAGGACACUUACAUAUAAAAACUAGUCCUGUCACAGAAAAAAAAUAAAA